rnacentral:rRNA from 1 species
UACGUAGGGUGCAAGCGUUGUCCGGAAUUAUUGGGCGUAAAGAGCUUGUAGGCGGUUUGUCGCGUCUGCUGUGAAAUUUCGGGGCUCAACCCCGAACUUGCAGUGGGUACGGGCAGACUAGAGUGUGGUAGGGGAGACUGGAAUUCCUGGUGUAGCGGCGAAAUGCGCAGAUAUCAGGAGGAACACCGGUGGCGAAGGCGGGUCUCUGGGCCGAUACUGACGCUGAGGAGCGAAAGCGUGGGGAGCGAACAGG